rnacentral:rRNA from 1 species
UACGUAGGGUGCAAGCGUUAAUCGGAAUUACUGGGCGUAAAGCGCACGUAGGCGGUUUCUUAAGUCGGGGGUGAAAUCCUGGAGCUCAACUCCAGAACUGCCUUCGAUACUGGGAAACUUGAGUCCGGGAGAGGUGAGUGGAACUGCGAGUGUAGAGGUGAAAUUCGUAGAUAUUCGCAAGAACACCAGUGGCGAAGGCGGCUCACUGGCCCGGUACUGACGCUGAGGUGCGAAAGCGUGGGGAGCAAACAGG